GGCAAUACAUAAAAUUAGAUACAAGUGGAUCUAGGAAUGGAACAUAAAUGUUGAUAAAUAUUUUUCAUUCGCAGGGCAUGGUGGCACACACCUGUAACCCCAGCAUUCAGCAGGCUGAGGCAGGAUAGAAGUGAGUUCAGGGCUGUUCUGAGCCACAGAGUAAGACUCUGUUUCAAAAAAAAAAUUCAGAAACUUCAGUAGAAGCUCAGUGUGCAGGAGUGACUUGGGCACGGGUGACAGACUUGGCACUUUAUUAUUUAUUUAACACCUAUUUACUGCUGUGUUCCAGCUGCUGUCCUAAUCACUUGGCAUAGUGCACCGAGCAAAACAGACAAACACUAAUAUCUACAGAGGAUUCCAUUCUGAGCUCUAGUGAGCCAUCAAUGUAGCUCAGGCCCACUGCUGGCCCAUGCUUGGUUUUGUUUUUGUUUGUUUGUUUUCUUGUUUUUAGAACAGGGUUUCACUAUGCAGCCCAGGUUGGCCUCAAACUCAGGAUUCCUCCUGCCUCAGCCUCCAGACUGCUGGGAUUACAGGUGUGAGCCACCAUGCCCGGCUGGCCCAAAUGCUUGGAUCCCAAAAUGUUUGUUGAAUAGACAAGAAAAUACUAAGAUGGUGAGGCAGAGGAUGAGAGGAAUUUGAAUCUCUGGAAAGCCUAGAUCCAGAAGAAAAAGAGGAACCUACUCUAAUAAAAAUUAGUAUUUCUUUGUUUUGAGACAGGGUCUUACUCAGGCUGGUCUCAAACUCCUGGGCUCAAGUGAUCCUCCCACCUCAAGCAUCAGUGCUUGGCGAGAAAACAGACCCCUGUUGAGGUCUCUGGGCCUGGAAGCUGAGACACUUAGACGACUGUAUCACUCAGAGGGCACGGAAGAGCUGGUGAGAUGGCUGUAGAUGGGUUGAGGUCUGCAGGAGGAGUGGAUGGCAUCUGCUGGGCAAAACCAAUUUUACACUAGAAACAGAAAACAUUACUGGUUUGUUAAUUACAGCAUUCAUAGGAUUAGAUUUACCUUUGGGUGUGCGAGCAGUAACCCAUGCUUUAAACAAACAACUCCAUCAUGCCACAAGAAUUAGCAGCAACAAUAGGCAUCUUCUUAGAACUACACUGACAGGUGGCCCGCAACGCACAGCCCCUGUCUGACCUGCAGCAGGGCCUGUAUGCCACACCUCUGCGAAGAGCCAGCCCACAGGAGCAGGGACACAAAGUAACACAUUCUUCUGUGGGGUAUUUGUUGAGAACUUGUUCUGUACGGGGCACUGAGAGGAGCACAGAGAAGAGGUGAGAGAAGCAUAAGAGACCUGGAUACCUACAGUCCGAUGAAUGGAGGAGACAAGAUUAACAAGUUAGCAGCACACAAACACACACACAAAAUACAUGUCACAUCCAAAGGGCGGAUGCACAGAGCCAAAUGGGAUUUAUGGGCAGAGAGUCCCCACCAGAAGGGUGGGAAGGGGCAUGACGUGGUGGGGUCAGUGUUACCUGGGAGACUGAUGCCAGGACACACUACCACACUUCUUUUAAAAGACGUGGGAGGUCUGGAGAUGUGGGUCAAUUGGCAGACUGCUUGCCUAGUAUGUGUAAGGCCUUGGGUUUGAUCCCUGGCACCACACAUACACAAGUACACAAAACACAAGAAACAUGGAUUUGUUUUUGUUUUUUUAGAGUUUCAGGGAUCGAACUGAGGACCUUGUACUUGCCAGGCAGGCACUUAUAAUGCUGAGCCAUAUCCCCAGCCCCUGAGUUAUAUCCCUAGCCUUGCAGGAAAGAUGAAAAAAAUACGAAAUUAUGUCAAAGAUGUGUAUUGUUACUAUUUAGGUUGUAUUUUUUAAGUUUUUUACCCCUACGUAUAGGUGUAUACAUAUUCAUGUGUAUAGUUUUUACGUAAAUGAGUUCACACCAUAUCUAUUAUCCUAUGUUUUGUUUUUAUGUAUUUAACAGUAAGUUUUGAACAUUUUUCUUUGUCGAUAAACUUUUUAUGGAGAUGUCAGAUUUCACUAAUUCUAUAUUUUGCCACUUCAGGUUAGUAAUGAUUAUGGUUAUUUUUUUCCUUUGGGAAUGCAAUAAAACCUUGGGUUGUAGGUGUAACUUCACCUGUGAAUGUUCCACAAGAUGAGCAAAUGUUUCUAAAAGAUUUUAACAUGAUAAAUGAGCAGUGUCUUGCCAUAUGAGUAGUAUGGCACGCUGAAGGUUGCAUGAUCACAACUGGUUCUCCUCUCUUUCUCUUGUUGCUUUGAUGUACAAGUGCUUUGGAUUAUGAGCAGAAAGUUUUGCUGUAGUCUUUUUUCCCCCCAGUACUGGGAAUUGAACCCAGAGCCUUCACACUGAGCUAUAUCCUGGGCUCUGCCUUCUUUUUAUAUUUUUAAUUUUGUCCCACUAAGUCACUGAAUUGCCCACACUGGGCUCAGAUGUGGAAUCUUCCCAGAGUGCACGAUCAAGCCCAGCUGUACUUCCUCUGUAUAGAGAAUAGCUGUAUCAAAGAGUAUACAUAGCUUCAAGAUUUUGAUACCAAUUGUUCAUAUCAGUUUAGAGUCCCACCAUGAUCUAAGAAGCAUGUCCUUUUCACUUUAUACUUCCAAACUUUAGGUAUAAACACUUAAGAAAAAUGCAAGUUUGAUAGAAAAGCUUUCUUUUGGACUUUCUUACUUGUUUCUUUUUUUUGAGACAGGGUCUCGCUGUGCAGUUCAGGCUACCUUGAAUUCACUUUGAAGCUGGAGCUGGCCUUAAAACUCCCAAAGAUCCUCUUGCAUCAGCCUUCUGAGUACUGGGGUUACAGUGACUUUUAAAGGAUCUUUCUUCUUGAGGAGUAAUGAGGAUACAGCUACAAAUCCUCAGCAUAACUCUUAGUGAACUCUCAUGGUCACAACCUGCAGGGAGAAAAAUGCAGCCUGAGAUCAUCGCUGUAUCUCUGCACCCCAGCUGUGGUGAUCACCCUGACCAGACCCAGUCAGCAUCAAGGUGGUUGGUUGCUUCCUUCCUAGUCUAUCUGGAGCAAGACAAUAAACAAGAAACGACUCCUCUCUGAGUGUGAGGGGCCAGCCUGCCAAAGAUGCCCACUUGCUGCUGCUGUCACUGUACUGCCCAGGUGUUGCACACUGGAUUCCUUUCAGAAAGAGCUAGCAAUGCUUGGUGCCUGUGGGUGGGAAUUUGGUGGGCUCUGCUCUCUGGGCAGUCUCCUCUGGGGGCUUUGGUUGGUUGUGCAAUAAAAUGGCCAUGAUCACA